rnacentral:misc_RNA from 1 species
AUGCAACCUAAGAAGAUUUUACCAAGACGAAAUAUAGAAAAGGCGAAGAAGAGAAAGAAGAUUAAAGAAUCAGAGAAACUUAAGAAAGAGAACAGUUAUUAUUCAAUUCACAACANNNNNNNNNNNGAUCUCUUUUAUAGAGCGUACAAUCAGCUCUGCUCUCUCGCUAACUGUUCAACAGUUUGCAACCACACCAAUCAACAUUAGACGCGUAUCAUCAGCAAUCAGAUGCUUCAAUUCCUCUCCUCUCAUAACCCCGCAAGGGUCCAUAUUAAACAGGGUGUUGGGAUUGAAAUUGGUUCAUAAACAACAUGAAUUACCUUAUUGGAGCU